GGAUAAAAGUAUCAGUGUCCACCGAGUGCCACGUUGAAUUAAACGCUGACUCAUAAAUCACAUUCACUCACUGACUGCUGCUACGACUGUCUAUCUAUGGCUAUGGCUAUGAUGCUGCACUAGUCUCCUCCUCCUCCUCCUUGAGUAGUUUAGAUAGCACAAUUUGGAUUCUUCCAUUACAAUCAAUCAUGUCUUGGUUUACUAACCUAAUCCGAAUCUCCACUGUCAAAUCAGCGUCUUCUUCCACCAAAUCACUGCCACCUCUAAUUACAAAUCCCAAUUUUCUCAUCUCCUCCCUCUUCCAUUUCUCCACCCACGCCCACCCUCCGCCGCAGUAUGCAGGGCUUCCGCCCACCAAGCCCGGCGAGAAGCCUAGGCUCGUCGUUUUGGGGUCUGGAUGGGCUGGCUGCCGUCUGAUGAAGGGCAUAGACACCAAGUUGUACGAUGUGGUUUGCGUUUCGCCCAGGAAUCACAUGGUAUUCACUCCUUUACUGGCUUCUACUUGCGUCGGAACCCUUGAGUUCAGGUCUGUAGCCGAGCCCAUCGCCCGCAUCCAGCCUGCCAUCUCCAAGGAGCCCGGUUCCUAUUUCUUUCUCGCCAAUUCCACUGCUAUUGAUACUCAUAGCCAUUUGGUGCAUUGCGAGACUGCUACUGAUGGAUCAAGUACCAUGGAUCCAUGGAAAUUUGAUAUCUCCUAUGAUAAGUUGGUAAUAGCAUUGGGAGCAGAAGCUUCCACAUUUGGAAUACAUGGUGUCAAAGAGCAUGCCAUCUUUCUUCGGGAAGUUCACCAUGCUCAAGAAAUUCGGCGAAAGCUGCUUCUAAACUUGAUGCUUUCUGAUGUCCCUGGUAUUUCAGAAGAAGAGAAGAGCAGAUUGUUACACUGUGUUGUUGUAGGAGGUGGUCCCACUGGAGUUGAAUUCAGUGGUGAACUUAGUGAUUUUAUCACGAGAGAUGUUCGUCAAAGAUAUGCCCAUGUUAAGGAUUAUAUUCAUGUUACAUUGAUCGAGGCAAAUGAGAUAUUAUCUUCCUUUGAUGAUCGCCUUCGUCACUAUGCUACUAAACAGUUGACAAAGUCAGGAGUUCAACUUGUCCGUGGGAUUGUCAAAGAUGUUAAACCUCAGAAGCUAGUUCUUAGUGAUGGCUCAGAGGUUCCAUAUGGUCUCUUGGUCUGGUCAACAGGCGUUGGCCCCUCACAUCUUGUAAAAUCACUGGACCUCCCAAAAUCUCCAGGUGGAAGGAUUGGUAUUGAUGAGUGGCUUAGAGUCCCUUCUGUGCCAGAUGUGUUUGCUAUUGGUGACUGCAGUGGAUUUCUUGAAAGUACUGGUAAAUCAGUUCUUCCAGCUUUAGCUCAGGUUGCAGAGCGGCAAGGAAAAUAUCUUGCUGGUCUCUUGAACAAAAUUGCUAGAGCUGGUGGAGGGCAGGCAAACAGUUGUGUAGACAUAGAAUUGGGAGAUCCAUUUGUUUACAGACAUCUGGGAAGCAUGGCAACUAUCGGCAGAUACAAAGCCCUUGUUGAUCUUAGGCAGAGUAAAGAGGCCAAAGGGAUUUCUUUGGCAGGAUUUGUCAGUUGGUUUGUCUGGCGCUCUGCAUAUCUAACUCGUGUAAUAAGCUGGAGGAACAGAUUCUAUGUUGCUAUUAACUGGGCCACAACUCUUGUGUUUGGUCGUGAUAUAAGCAAAAUAUAGAUCUAAAUAGAGGUGACAGUGCUCGUGUAACAUUUGAUUGCCAUUGGUUUGUGAAGAUACUGAAUAAGUAAAGGCUUCCUCAGUCAGUAAAGGAUGUUUCUUGGUGCAAAUUGAUAUAGCUUUUGUAAUUCCGUACAUAAUGGCCAGCCAUUUGUUUCUACUACGCCACGCAUCUAUUCAGGAGCUUUGAAGCAUGUGAUCAAGUUAUCAAUAGAAGCCAAGCAAAUCAGGAGUCUAGUUCUUUGCAAGCUAUGUUGAUCGCUGUGUUUUUUUUUUUUUUUUAAAUAUUGAUUUCUAGGAUGAGGCAGAAGUUCGUCAGAAGCUAGCACUAGAACUUCAACUUUAUACAGGAAUCAAGCCCUUAUUAUAUUGUCGGUGCCGUAGUGGGUACUAGGAUGCAUGCUGUUUUUACUCUCUGACUAAAAAAUAGAAAAUAAAACAGAAUUCAGAUAUUGGAGCUGUCGGCUAUGUCAUGCUGUUGCAGUGGUCAGUGGUGGCUUCUCAAUCUAAAGCCAUGCAAGAACGCGACUCUUAAUCACUCUUGUCGAAUUACAAUUGAUCAGGCUACAGCUAGCAAUCAUCAUCCCAGGGAGGCCCUGCUGCUUAAAUCUUGUUCUUGCUAGUCUUCAUUGAAAGACACUAUAUGAAAUAAAAAGUUGGAAAUUCAGAGUUCUAGAAAGCCA